rnacentral:rRNA from 1 species
UACGUAGGGGGCAAGCGUUGUCCGGAUUUAUUGGGCGUAAAGAGCAGUGUAGGCGGUUUGGUAGGUCCGCUGUGAAAACUCGAGGCUCAACCUCGAGACGCCGGUGGAAACCAUCAGACUAGAGUCCGGAAGAGGAGAGUGGAAUUCCUGGUGUAGCGGUGAAAUGCGCAGAUAUCAGGAAGAACACCCGUGGCUAAGGCGGCUCUCUAGUACGGUACUGGACGCUGAGACGCGAAAGCGUGGGGAGCGAACAGG